rnacentral:rRNA from 1 species
GACGAACGCUGGCGGCGUGCUUAACACAUGCAAGUCGAACGGAAAGGCCCAGCUUGCUGGGUACUCGAGUGGCGAACGGGUGAGUAACACGUGGGUGAUCUGCCCUGCACUCUGGGAUAAGCCUGGGAAACUGGGUCUAAUACCGGAUAUGACCAACUGUCGCAUGGUGGUUGGUGGAAAGCUUUUGCGGUGUGGGAUGGGCCCGCGGCCUAUCAGCUUGUUGGUGGGGUAAUGGCCUACCAAGGCGACGACGGGUAGCCGACCUGAGAGGGUGAUCGGCCACACUGGGACUGAGACACGGCCCAGACUCCUACGGGAGGCAGCAGUGGGGAAUAUUGCACAAUGGGCGCAAGCCUGAUGCAGCGACGCCGCGUGGGGGAUGACGGCCUUCGGGUUGUAAACCUCUUUCACCAGGGACGAAGCGUGAGUGACGGUACCUGGAGAAGAAGCACCGGCCAACUACGU